CGGUCUUUCCGUUGAUUCCCUCUCCCUCUCCCGUGAAAAACACGGUCUUUCCCUUGGAAAAAAAUUGAGAAUACCUUUUGAUAGUAGAAACAUCCUUGCAUUUCCCUGCAAGAAAACUUGGUCAAAGUCUACUCUCCACUCUUUCCUCUACUUUUCCUUCCUCGCCCAUUUCAUGCUUUUUAAACCCAUCUCUGCUUCCUCUAUUCACUCCAGGCUUCUCAACUGUCAUUCAGAGCCAAUCUUCCUCGAGAGAAAGCAAAGCAGUUGUUUCUUGUGGGGUAAUCAAAAUGGCAUUGAACAGAGGUUAUAAUAUCAUUUUGGUGGUGCUCAUCAUUGCAAUUGUUCUUCCACAUAUUUGUUCUGCUGAUACAAAUAGCCCCACCCCUGCCACUGCCAACCAUGGAGUGGGGAUUAGCCAGGAUAUUGAAGGAUACAUGUUUAUGAUGGUCGCACUGGUACUUGGGUAUCUUUUCAAUGGUGUGUUUUGAACAGGCUAUGGCUAUGUUUCCACUAUGAAUAAAUCUGUAUAUUGAGAUAUUCAUUACUGUAUUGUCUUUCAGUUCUCACACAUUUUGUGUGAAGCAGUUGGCAUCACUCUAAUAAAUGUGGUAACACUGUUGCAAGACUUGCUUAUGAUUAUAUGUUUUAAAAUGAAUUCUUCUAGUUUAGCCCAAGUUGGGAGUAUAUCAAACUUGAUGAUCCUUUCUACUCCAUGUAUGUUUUAAACAUUAUUUCUCUCUGGUCUACAUAUUUAAGGAAAAGUAGAUUUUCUGGCUUUUCAGUUUGAAAAGGUUUUUCUUGGAAGAUCUUUCGCUUUGUGGUGAGGCAUCUGAGCUACAAUUUUGACAGAAAGGAAACCGAAAUUUAGUACAGAGAAGGUUUUGUAUAGUUAUAGAUCCGUGUUCAAGCUUUUGACUUUUCUCAGACCGAACUCUGGGUUCGUUAUAUUCCAUAAACAAAUAAAAAAUUAAUUUGUAGA